UGGAAACGAAGAAAGCAAAGGACUGGAAAAUCAAGAGGUUAAUGGAAACGAAGAAAGAAAAGGACUGGAGAAUCAAGAAGUGAAUGGAAAUGAAGAAAGCAAAGAACUGGAAAAUCAAGAGGUGAAUGGAAACGAAGGAAGCAAAGGACUGGAGAAUCAAGAAGGGAAUGGAAAUGAAGAAAGCAAAGGACUUGAGAAUCAAGAAGGGAAUGGAAAUGAAGAAAGUAAAGAAAAGGGGAAUCAAGAAGAAAAUGAAGGUAAAGAUAAGGUAAAUGAGAU
rnacentral:lncRNA from 1 species